UACGGAGGGAGCGAGCGUUGUUCGGAAUUACUGGGCGUAAAGCGUAUGUAGGCGGCUUCGUAAGACAGAUGUGAAAUCCCAGGGCUUAACCUUGGAACUGCAUUUGUGACUGCAAGGCUUGAGAAUCGGAGAGGUUGGCGGAAUUCCUAGUGUAGAGGUGAAAUUCGCAGAUAUUAGGAGGAACACCGAUGGCGUAAGCAGCCAACUGGACGAUUACUGACGCUGAGAUACGAAAGCGUGGGGAGCAAACAGG
rnacentral:rRNA from 1 species